rnacentral:rRNA from 1 species
GUGUCAGCAGCCGCGGUAAUACGUAGGGUGCGAGCGUUAAUCGGAAUUACUGGGCGUAAAGCGUGCGCAGGCGGUUCGUUAAGUCAGAUGUGAAAGCCCCGGGCUUAACCUGGGAAUGGCAUUUGAGACUGGCGAGCUGGAGUCUGGCAGAGGGGGGUGGAAUUCCACGUGUAGCAGUGAAAUGCGUAGAGAUGUGGAGGAACACCGAUGGCGAAGGCAGCCCCCUGGGCUGAGACUGACGCUCAGGCACGAAAGCGUGGGGAGCAAACAGGAUUAGAUACCCUGGUAGUCC